UACGGAGGGUGCAAGCGUUAUCCGGAUUCACUGGGUUUAAAGGGUGCGUAGGAGGACUGGUAAGUCAGUGGUGAAAUCCCCGAGCUUAACUUGGGAACUGCCGUUGAUACUAUCAGUCUUGAAUACCAUGGAGGUGAGCGGAAUAUGUCAUGUAGCGGUGAAAUGCUUAGAUAUGACAUAGAACACCAAUUGCGAAGGCAGCUCGCUACACGAAUAUUGACUCUGAGGCACGAAAGCGUGGGGAUCAAACAGG
rnacentral:rRNA from 1 species